GGUAGUAGCUCAGUUGGUAGAGCAUCAGCUUCCCAAGCUGAGGGUCGCGGGUUCGAGCCCCGUUUACC
rnacentral:tRNA from 4 species